GAUGGACGCUGGCGGCGUGCUUAACACAUGCAAGUCGAACGAUGAAGCCCAGCUUGCUGGGUGGAUUAGUGGCGAACGGGUGAGUAACACGUGAGUAACCUGCCCUUAACUCUGGGAUAAGCCUGGUAAACUGGGUCUAAUACCGGAUAGGAGCGUCCACCGCAUGGUGGGUGUUGGAAAGAUUUAUCGGUUUUGGAUGGACUCGCGGCCUAUCAGCUUGUUGGUGAGGUAAUGGCUCACCAAGGCGACGACGGGUAGCCGGCCUGAGAGGGUGACCGGCCACACUGGGACUGAGACACGGCCCAGACUCCUACGGGAGGCAGCAGUGGGGAAUAUUGCACAAUGGGCGCAAGCCUGAUGCAGCGACGCCGCGUGAGGGAUGACGGCCUUCGGGUUGUAAACCUCUUUCAGUAGGGAAGAAGCGAAAGUGACGGUACCUGCAGAAGAAGCACCGGCUAACUACGUG
rnacentral:rRNA from 1 species